UCCACCUUACUCAAGGUCAAGUGGAGAAGCCUGCAUCCAGUGAAUGACAGUGCAGGGGCGUGAGGCCCCGACCUUCUCAGUCCAACUCAGGAGGGGUUAUUCCAGCCUUACAGUUCCCAAGAAUCAGCUGAGUUGCCUUUUGCUGAGAGCAACUUCUGCCUUCACCCAGUCCUGCUUUGUUCUUUCUUCUUCCCUUAUACAAGUAUUGAUCCCAAUAAUUUUCCCAAUAAUUUUCUUGUCUUCUUAUUUCUAUCUCAGAAUCUAUUUUCAUAAAGUCCAAUUUAUUACAAUAAAUUAGAAGAGAGAAGAGUUGUUCUGAACUAAGAGACUUGAAUAAGACUUGAGGCUGAAGGAAAUUUGCAAAUUAUCAAGUCCUUCUGUACCAUUGAUGAAGAGGCCCAGGUGCCUUCAGUCAGUUGCCUACAUUUGCCAACCCACAGCAGGGACUUGACUUCAUGGUGCCUUACUGUUUUGGCUACAGAGUAGAUUAGAGAUUCUGCUUGUCCUUUGUGUUUCUGCUUUGAUUGUUCCAUUGUGAGGCUACCAAAUAUUUGAUCUGUAAUUACUCCAGCAAAUCAGUUCAAUUACCAAGAUCCAGAGAAUUCUGCAGAGGUAAUGUCCAAGUUUGGGUAUGAGGAUAUCCUGAAAUAUUUUGAGUUGGGCAGGGGUGGUUUUAAUUUGCUCUGACCUUUGAAGUUUAUUACAAAAGACAUGAGAUCCCGGUCAUUUAGUGUUUUGGGGAGGACUUUCUAAAGAGCAUCAGAAUCGUACUUAAACCAUUUCAUGCAGGAUGGAGUCCUCUGGAUCCAUCACUAGAAAGUUUCAAUUCCCUGGACUUGCUUUUAUGUUUUUGUUUUUUUUUUCCCCAAGAUAGUAUACAACUGAUUGGAUUAUUGAAGGAUUUUUAGAUCCUGUGCCCUUGAAUGAGCUCCACAUGAUGUAGAGCAAGGGUUUAAAAGUGUGUAUGCUAAAAAUGCACCUUUUGUAGCCAACCUUCCAUUUUGUGCUCUCUCUUUCCUUUUUUCUCUGUGUUUUUACUUGAGUCUAUUAUAAUUGUCUUGGAUGACGCUUAUUAGUUGUUGCUUUAAAAAUGAGUCCACCUAUUCUGAAUAAGCCAGCAUUCUUGUUAUGAGAUAUUUAAGAGAAUAUUCAAGUUUAUUUUAAAUAGGCCUGAUUUACCAUUGCCAUUGGAGUUUGAUCAGGCUGGUAAGAAGGAACUGAGAACACUGGGUCCUGAAAGCUGAAGACAUAGGACCUGGAAGAACUUGGAGAAACAUGGUACCUUCUUUAGAUUUUUUAGACAUUAUCUUUAGAAAGAGCAAAUGUGCUUUUUUUUUUUUUUUUUCUGUUUCUCAGGAUAGCCAGAAUAGGGUUAGUGGAAAUAGAAGUUCGAGGGAGGCAAUAUUAGAAAAAUAAUUACAAUAAGUAUUGUUUCAAAUUGAAAUGAUCUGUUUUGCUAGGUAAUGAGAUCAUUCUGAUUAAAGUGUUCAAGGAUAAUUGAGGUAUGCACCUGAGAUACUUUCCCUUGGGUAGAGAAUCCAAGGGAAAGAUGGGGUAGAUUGCAGUGUUGUUACUCCCCAGUGAUCAUCCCUCCUGGUAUUUAUGCCCUGUGCAGUCAGUCACCUGGCUUACUGAUGCUGAGCCCGGCCAUGUGACUUGCUCUGGCCAGUGAUUCAUUAGCAAGCAUGACCCACAUGGAGGCUUGAUGAGUGCUUGUAUAUUGGAGCCUGUCAUCUGGGAACUCUCCAUCUUGGAAGGAAGGUGUUGUGCUAAAAAGAAGCUUGGGCUUGACUAACUCAGUGAUGACAGGCUAUUGGAGGGAGGCUGAGCUCUCAGUUGAAUAAGCCUCAUGAGUGAUUACAGCCAUACUACAGUGUGCAGAAGAACUGCCCAAGUGAGCUCAGAAUCAGCAGCAUAAUAUCGCUAUUACAAGCUACUCCAUUUUGGGGUGGUUUGUUAUGCAGUUAGUGCAUAAUGGAAAUACUGAAUGAUAUCAUCUCUGGAAUCCUCCCCAAUUCUUUUAUUCUCCAAUUAAUUGUAAAUAGUGGGGGAAGAUGUCGAAUAGAUGAAAAAGCAUAUGAUUACAAGCCACCCUCUGAACAAUCCUUUCACCUUGGGGAAAUACACAUUUAAGCGAUUUCAUGACAGUUGGACAAGCAUACAAAUACCUCCCACAAUGGGAACACCUCAUCCAUCCUUCUGUGCUGGCUAACCCUGACUGUCUGGCAGAUUGUGUGGAUAUCUGGCUCCAAGUUGAGAUGAGAAUGAAGGUAUCAAAAUCUCCCUCAAAUUUUCACAUUUCUGAAUUCUCAACAGAUGUUAAAUGUAAUUUAAUCAACGAUUGAUUCAACACACUAUUUUCUCAUCUGUUAAAUGAGGUUUCAACCAUUAAUGGGAAAAAAGGGAAAAGUUAAACAAAAUAAAAGCAAUGUGUGCAUUUAGAAGCAAAUUUGACUGGAUUAUAUAUUUGCCUUACUUUUUUGGGAAGUGUUUAUCUGCUCUUCCUUUUCAAGAAAUUCUUGCUAAUCAAAGUUUAUUUUUUGCCCACCUCAUUAGAGUACAAACCAUCAAUAUAAGAGGGAAACAUAGAUCUUAUUUUUUAUUUAUUUUGCAAGUUGGUGAAUUUACAGAUCAGAGCCACAGUCUGAUUUUAGCUUAGUCUUUAAGAAAUUUCUUAUGAUGCUGAUAUAUAAAACCAUGAUAAAGGUGAGAUCAACACAUUGCAAUUUCUUUGUAUAAUGUACCUUCAUUUAUUUACUUCUGGGCUAUAGUGAGAAGAUUAUUUUUGUUGUUAUUUAUUUGCUUAAAGUGGGUGAUUAGUACUUUCUCCACCUUGGCUAGUCCAUGUUUUGGGGUUCCUCAAAAAUUAUUCUAUGAACUGGCUUAAAAAUACAGUUAUGAGUUGUGGCAGUGUUCAUUUAUCUCACUGCCGACAUCCUGAGUUCAGCCCUACUAACAGAACAGCAUCCAUUGGUUCCUGACUCACCUGGAUCCAUAGCCCUAAUUUCACUUCUAGAGUGGAGUUUCUGUCAUCUCAAAGGAAGCAAGAUGAGUGGCCAGGGAUGUCUCAGACAUAGUCAUCGCUCCUCCUGAGCGAGUAACUAAAUUCAUGGGCUGUGUUUCAAAUUUGAAGGGCAUGCCAUCAGGUAAACUGAAGCACAUUAUAGCACAUUUCAAGGGGAAGUGUGAAGAGCAGAUUGUUGAAAUGAGACAAGAGGAGGCUGGCUCCUUUCCUCACACGGUAGUGAAGGACAGUGGUGACAUUGUCCCAUGGCAUCAAGAAACUCUUGAGGGAUCACUAAUAGAGCAUAGGCGGAAGAGGUGUGGUCCAAGCUAGGAUGCCAGCAGCUGAAGAUGUACAGGUCUGAUUGAGAGAGGGAGCAUGUGGAAAGGAAAGGGACCUUGGGUUAGGUGCCAGUCUGCUCUAGGUGAGAAGGCUUGAGUGCUGGCCUCCCAGCCUCCCUGGUGCUUGGGCUUCAUUCUGCUGUAGCCUGGCAUUGUUCGGAUAUUCUUAUAGAAUCAUUCAGGACCUCGUUAAACUACACUUCCCAUGGUACAUCUGUUUUUUCAUAAGCUCACCUCCUGGAGCGAAAAUGAGAACUCCAUCACUAAUAUCAGAAUACCAUGGCCCUCAUUUUCUUUCCUUCAACCAGUUUCCACCCAAGAACCUUUGUUUGCCAACUCAUUCUUAGGGUAGAUGAUGAAAAAGUAUGGAACUUGGUAUUGUGUUUAGGAGGUAGGGAACUUGAAGAGGUGGUAUCCAUUGUCAUUCUUUAUAAAACUAGUCUGAGUUUGUACAUUCCCAAAAGAAAUAUCUGAUGGCAGAUGCUUUACCAUCAUAUAUUUUAAAAAUCCAGUUGAUCUAUAUCUAAGAGGAAAAUGUCAUUUUAAACUCAGUAUUCAUACUAAAGGAAUCCUAGUAUGAAUACUAUACUAAUAGCUUGAAAUACAAUAAAACAAUGAAUACUUAAUGAAAUCUAAUUGUUUUCCAGUCUCUUUAUGUUUAUUAACUAAUGAAUUUUUCUAAUAAAGUUAUGAGUAGAUUCUCUUAUUUAUUACCCAUAUUAACAGCUGAGGAAAUGGAGUGUGGAGAACUCAUGAAGUAGGUCCAAGGACACUCUGGCAGAAUAAAAAUGUCCACAGAUUCUUUGACACUCUCCUAUCUAGAGGAGUCCUCUCCCAGUGAACCUAUCUGCCUUGACUAAUAGAACAUAGCAGAAGUGAUGCUUUGCCCCUCUUUGGGUCCAGUCCUCAAAGAUUUACAACUUGCACUCCCUGUCUCUUGAAAUGCUUGCUCUUGGAGCCCUGAGAAACAUGUAAAAGUCUGACAACCUUGAGGUCACCAUGCUGGAGCAUGGCUGGAGCCAUGUGGAGGGGCCACAUGUAGAAGAGCUGAUGCCCAGUGAGCCCCACUUGUUAUAGCUAUAGCUCUUCAAGUAACCCAGGUGAUGUCCCAACAUCAUGUACAUAGAUGAAUACUUUCUGCUGUACUGUCAGGAUCCCAGAUUCAUGGAUUCAUGAAUGAUUAUUGAACCAGAAUGUUGGUGCAAUUUGUUAUGCAGCAUAGAUAAACAGAACAUUCACACAGCUAUUACACGUACAGCCCAAGUGGAUUUGACCCAAGUGACCUGGCUCCAGAAUAUCUGUGUUUAGCAAGUAUUCUAUGCACUAUAUAUGUUACCCAGAAUGUUGUGCCAUUUUAGUUCAAACAGCAGUGCUGCCAUACUUGCAACAUGCACUGAAUUUUCCUUUGCUCUGCUUUAUUUUCCUCCCAAGCUUUAUGACCACCUAUGUUGGGGGCUGUGUUUAGGCUUGUUUAGCAUCUACUUCCCCCCUUUUCAGUUGAAUGGACCAUCCAUAGGACAAUACACAUGCACACAGCGUGAGCUGUUCACAGCUACAUUCUCAGCACCUAGAAUAGUAUUUGGCAUGAAGUAGAUGUGAAAUAGCUUUGAGAUUGAAUAAACAAUAGAAAUGUUUCAUCUUAAAGCUAGUGAAACAGGACAUACUUUUGCUUCAGUUUCUUGAGACAUUCUGUGUAACUAUUGUGGUUGACUCUUCAGGGAGGAGAAGGAGAAAGGUCAGAAAGAGAGGGUACUGUGAAUAAAAUGGAUGAUGUAUUAACCUCAUAAAACAAUUACCAGAGUUUAGCCCAGACUAGGAAAAGCCAAAAUGGCUAAUGGUAAAAAAGCAAUUGUGACUGCAUGUUAUUGAACGAUAUUUUUUCUGGCUGUAAAUCUGAUAGUGAAAUCUACAGUGGGCAGAGGAGCGCUAUCUCACAGAAGUGAGCUAGUCCCUGGGGGUGGCGCCAGUGUGAUAGGAUACAUCUUAGAAGAAGUUGAGUAAUAACUGGAUGGCCUCCAAGAGUUACAUUGGCUGAAAUAACCAAAUAGGUCAAAAUAAAUCAAGCAAGAAGGUUUUUGUGUUGAUUACAGAAGAAAGAUAAGGUAUCUCGACCUUUCUAGAGCCCUAGAGCAGGGGUUGACCUCUUCAGAUUCUGAUGAGGUAGGAAGGAAAAUAAAUCUAUCUAGUAGUUAGCUAUAGUAUACACAAUAAGUUGAAAAUAUGACACAAAAUUAUGUCCUGAGGUUAUAGCAUCACACCCAAAGAGAUUUUGGAAGUGACUUAGAGGAAAUGAAUUCUUCAAUAGGGAGAUGGUGGCUAGCUGGGAGAUGCUUCCAAAUAUAGCCUCUUUCAGUCAGGUGUUUGAUAUCAGUUUUGUGUGAUAUUAGUCAUGCCAGCUUCCAGAAGAAAGAGUUAAGCCCGAGUGAUGUAACAGAUUUAAACACUUUAAUGAAUGGUUCAAAGUCUAAAAGUGAUGUUUGAACAGUUAUUAACUUCUAAAUCAAUUGAGGAGGCUGAAGUUGGACCAAAACUAAAUAUAUGCAGAUGGGGUGCAAUGGCAGGGCCCUGGAAACUGCUCUCCAUAUGGUGUGGGUGAGUAUUAAGCUCCCUUAGGAAAUUUCAACAAUUGUCGGUAGGCACAUAACUCAUGUUUCAUGAUGUAAGUUUUAGAAUUGUUUUCAAAAAGUUGGCACAUAAAACCGAAGCUGUAACAUGAGUCUAAAAUAAAGAGAAAAAUCAUUUCCUCUGAACACAAAUAGCCAGUUCAGCAUUUCUAAGAAAAGGGAAGUUAAGUUUGGUUCAUUUGGGGAACCAAAGUCAAAAGAUUAUGGUUAGUUUUGCAUAAUGAGUUAAGUUAAUUAAAGAAAAUUACAAAGUCAUAUCAGUUAUGAAGCAUAGUUCAUAAGAAGUGCCACAUGUGUCUCUGCUUCUGCAGUCUGGAUGAGCAUUGGUGAAAUGUAAAUGCCGAUGAAAGGCCAAGAUUUGGGAAUUGAUUUAUCACAUGGAGACUUUAGCCAUCAGAAUUUCUUUAAAAUGUUGAUGGUCCUCCAUUAAUUUCAUUUGUUUUAUUUAAUCUCCAAGAGACAAGGGCCAGUGCAAAUAUUUUUAAAAUGAAGAUAGGAAAAUCCUAACAUAAGUGUCAUGCAUGUAUUUCCAUAAAUC
rnacentral:lncRNA from 1 species